rnacentral:rRNA from 1 species
GAUGAACGCUGGCGGCGUGCCUAAUACAUGCAAGUCGAGCGAACAGACGAGGAGCUUGCUCCUCUGACGUUAGCGGCGGACGGGUGAGUAACACGUGGAUAACCUACCUAUAAGACUGGGAUAACUUCGGGAAACCGGAGCUAAUACCGGAUAAUAUAUUGAACCGCAUGGUUCAAUAGUGAAAGACGGUUUUGCUGUCACUUAUAGAUGGAUCCGCGUCGCAUUAGCUAGUUGGUAAGGUAACGGCUUACCAAGGCGACGAUGCGUAGCCGACCUGAGAGGGUGAUCGGCCACACUGGAACGGAGACACGGUCCAGACUCCUACGGGAGGCAGCAGUAGGGAAUCUUCCGCAAUGGGCGAAAGCCUGACGGAGCAACGCCGCGUGAGUGAUGAAGGUCUUCGGAUCGUAAAACUCUGUUAUUAGGGAAGAACAAAUGUGUAAGUAACUAUGCACGUCUUGACGGUACCUAAUCAGAAAGCCACGGCUAACUACGUG